rnacentral:rRNA from 1 species
AUUGAACGCUGGCGGCAUGCCUUACACAUGCAAGUCGAACGGUAACAGGUCUUCGGAUGCUGACGAGUGGCGAACGGGUGAGUAAUACAUCGGAACGUGCCUAGUAGUGGGGGAUAACUACUCGAAAGAGUGGCUAAUACCGCAUGAGAUCUACGGAUGAAAGCAGGGGAUCGCAAGACCUUGUGCUACUAGAGCGGCCGAUGUCAGAUUAGGUAGUUGGUGGGAUAAAAGCUUACCAAGCCGACGAUCUGUAGCUGGUCUGAGAGGACGAGCAGCCACACUGGGACUGAGACACGGCCCAGACUCCUACGGGAGGCAGCAGUGGGGAAUUUUGGACAAUGGGCGCAAGCCUGAUCCAGCCAUGCCGCGUGCAUGAUGAAGGCCUUCGGGUUGUAAACUGCUUUUGUACGGAACGAAAAGCCUUGGGUUAAUACCCUGGGGUCAUGACGGUACCGUAAGAAUAAGCACCGGCUAACUACGUGCCAGCCGCCGCAGUAA